AUUAAAUCCUUCCAUGUAUCACCUGAUCAAGUCGCCGAUUGAGUGAAUUUCCAAACCAACAAGCAAACAGAGAGGAGAGCGUAACGCUGCACAGUUCCCGAACUCGUUGCCGGCGAUGGAACCCCAUGCCGGUGGAAAGAAGCUGGCAUCGAUCAUUCGCCGCCGCCGCCGCCGUCCAAGGCGACUAAUGGGUUGAAGACUCAGAUUCUCAGAGUGACGGGUCUUAACGAUUGUUGGACCUUUCGCUUUGAAGGCAAUCGUUGAUUUUUCAGAGACUUCUCCAAUGAAUUAUGACACGGGUUUUAAAAUUGAACGGCUCCAGCUUUUUGACAUUGUCUAUCAACCACUUGACAUAAAGAGAGGCUGCUAUGUCUCACUUGGCAGAAGUGGACAAAGUGGGGGCAGAAAAAGAGGUGUUGGUGGAAAAAAGAAAGAGGUUCAAUUUUAUGAGUCUUCUACUUGUAAGGAAUUUGAACCUGAGCCUUAUAUAGGCAAACUUAUAAAAAUAUGGGAACAUCUAGAUUAGGCAAAGAAAAUAAAGGUUCUGUGGCUCUUCCACGUACCCUCAUGAGAUUUUGAAAAGGCUUGGAGACGGCGAGACAGAUGAGAAAGAGGUAUUUUUGGCAUCUGGUGAAGGUCUUGGCCUAGCAAAUGUUAAUCCCCUGGUAAUUGAACUUAGAGAAAUUAGACAACUUAUAAUUUUUGUGCCUUUUUCUUUUGUGGCUAUGAUCUUCUUUCACAAGGAAAACGUAGACCAUCCGGUGUUUCUUUGUGAGAUUAACUUUGUUCUUGUAAAGGGGUCACCUGUUAAAAUGUGCAGGAGCAAAAGAGUUAAUUUCCACAUGUCAUGUGAUCGUAUACAUAGUUGAAAACUUAUGGUAGAUGACUUGGUAAAUACAGUAAGAUGCAUUCUUCACGUAGAAUGAUACAUAUUAAUUGGCAUUUAUAUCUUCAGUUUA